rnacentral:rRNA from 1 species
UAGGGAAUCUUCCGCAAUGGGCGAAAGCCUGACGGAGCAACGCCGCGUGAGUGAUGAAGGCCUUCGGGUUGUAAACUCCUUUCGACAGGGACGAAGCUUUUGUGACGGUACCUGUAUAAGAAGCACCGGCUAACUACGUGCCAGCAGCCGCGGUAAUACGUAGGGUGCGAGCGUUGUCCGGAAUUACUGGGCGUAAAGAGCUCGUAGGUGGUUUGUCGCGUCGUCUGUGAAAUUCCGGGGCUUAACUCCGGGCGUGCAGGCGAUACGGGCUGACUUGAGUGCUGUAGGGGAGACUGGAAUUCCUGGUGUAGCGGUGAAAUGCGCAGAUAUCAGGAGGAACACCGAUGGCGAAGGCAGGUCUCUGGGCAGUAACUGACGCUGAGGAGCGAAAGCAUGGGUAGCGAACAGGAUUAGAUACCCUGGUAGUCCAUGCCGUAAACGGUGGGCGCUAGGUGUAGGGGGCUUCCACGUCUUCUGUGCCGUAGCUAACGCAUUAAGCGCCCCGCCUGGGGAGUACGGCCGCAAGCU